ACGUAUGGGGUAAGCGUUGUUCGGAAUUAUUGGGCGUAAAGGGCGUCUAGGCGGGGGAUUAAGUUAGAUGUGAAAGCUAUGGGCUCAACCCAUAAAUUGCAUCUAAGACUGGUUCUCUUGAGUUCGGGAGAGGAGAGCGGAAUUCCAGGUGUAGCGGUGAGAUGCGUAGAUAUCUGGAAGAACACCAGUGGCGAAGGCGGCUGUCUGGCUUAGAACUGACGCUGAAGCGCGAAAGCGUGGAGAGCGAACAG
rnacentral:rRNA from 1 species